rnacentral:rRNA from 1 species
UAGUCCACGCUGUAAACGAUGUCUACUUGGAGGUUGUUGUCUUGAAUGAUGGCUUUCGGAGCUAACGCGUUAUGUAGACCGCCUGGGGAGUACGGCCGCAAGGUUAAAACUCAAAUGAAUUGACGGGGGCCCGCACAAGCGGUGGAGCAUGUGGUUUAAUUCGAUGCAACGCGAAGAACCUUACCUACUCUUGACAUCUACAGAAGCCAGCGGAGACGCAGGUGUGCCUUCGGGAACUGUAAGACAGGUGCUGCAUGGCUGUCGUCAGCUCGUGUCGUGAGAUGUUGGGUUAAGUCCCGUAACGAGCGCAACCCUUGUCCCUAUUUGCCAGCACUUCGGGUGGGAACUCUAGGGAGACUGCCGGUGACAAACCGGNGGAAGGUGGGGACGACGUCAAGUCAUCAUGGCCCUUACGACUUGGGCUACACACGUGCUACAAUGGUCGGUACAGAGGGCAGCAAACCCGCGAGGGGGANCGGAAUCCCACAAAACGUUUCGUAGUCCGGAUUGGAGU